rnacentral:lncRNA from 1 species
CAGGAUUCCAUGGUUCAGCACAUAUCCAGCCCAGAGGGCAAAGCCAGCCUCCUCUUUUGACAAGUACUUGUCAUGAAGAGGGAGAAACAACAUGGAGGAGGGGAAAAAUUUUGACACUCAUCUCCUGUGCCUGCAAUUCAUAACUCAAUCUUGUUCAAUUGCUCUCUCUUUUGAAUAGAGUCUGGCAAUAGGGUGAAAUAACCAAGAACUCUACUACACCCCCUCAGAAGAACCAGAGGUAUCAGCUACCAUAUUUGUCUGUAUAUCCAAUAUUCCAGCCUCAACACCUUUCCUUGAAAAUCUAGAGGUCAUCAAUAAAAUGAAAAGCCAUUUCAUUCUAUUGGUGAAAACAGAAGCUUUUCUGCAGCAUAUCAAGAGUCUGGCAAAGCUCUCAACUAGAUUAUACUAUAAAGAAUAUGAAUAGCCAACAAUUACGGAGUACUUAUUAGAAGUCAAGACUCUUCUGAGUAGUUUGCUUGGAUUAUCUCAUGCAAUCUCAAUAUUGGAUUUAGCCAAGGAAUAUCAUCUUGCUUGGUCAUCAGCAUGUAACUGAUGCAUCGAUACUUCUCAGCCAUAUUUAGCUAAUCUCACAUGUUCACACCUACUGAUCUCUAAAGGCCAGCUAGUCGACCAGAACUGAUUCUCAACUUAUCAGUAAUCAUGCAAAGUUUAUAGAGGUGACAUUUCUGGACUUCAGAAAUACAAGAGUAGUCUUAUGGAGCUACAAUCAAGGUGUUGAAGGCUAGUUCCUUCUGGAGGCUCCAAGGGAUAAUCUGUUCCUCACUUCUCCCAACUGUUAUACACUUCUGACUUUCCUUGGUCUGUGGCCACAUCAUUCCUUUCUCUUGCUGCUAUUGUCACAUAUUUUACAACUCUGACUUUGACUCCCUCCCUAUCCCUCUAAUAAGGAAUGUUGUGACUAUAUUAGGCCACCCAGACAACCCAGAGUGAACCCCAAUCCAUUUAGUUGCAGCUGCAAAGUCCCUCUUUCAUGUAGGAUAACAUAAGCAUAGGCUGCAUGGAUGAAACUUUUAGAGACAUUAUUCAUGGGUGCGUAUGUUUGUAUGUGUAUGUUUGUGUAUACAUAUACAUAAAUAUCUUUUUUU